rnacentral:rRNA from 1 species
GGCAGAGGAUGCAAGCGUUAUCCGGAAUGAUUGGGCGUAAAGCGUCUGUAGGUGGCUUUUUAAGUCUGCCGUCAAAUCCCAGGGCUUAACCCUGGACAGGCGGUGGAAACUACCAAGCUGGAGUACGGUAGGGGCAGGGGGAAUUUCCGGUGGAGCGGUGAAAUGCGUAGAGAUGGGGGAGAACACUCGUGGCGAAGGCGGCCAGCUAGACCAGUUCUGACACUGAGGCGCGACAGCGUGGGGAGCAAACAGG